rnacentral:rRNA from 1 species
UACGUAGGGGGCAAGCGUUGUCCGGAUUCAUUGGGCGUAAAGAGCUCGUAGGCGGCUCAGUUAGUCGGGUGUGAAACCCCCGGGCUCAACCCGGGGACGCCACCCGAUACUGCUGUGGCUAGAGUCCGGUAGGGGAGCGUGGAAUUCCUGGUGUAGCGGUGAAAUGCGCAGAUAUCAGGAGGAACACCAGCGGCGAAGGCGGCGCUCUGGGCCGGAACUGACGCUGAGGAGCGAAAGCGUGGGGAGCGAACAGG